rnacentral:rRNA from 1 species
GAUUAACGCUGGCGGCGUGCAUAACACAUGCAAGUCGAACGAUGAAACUUUAAUGAACCCUUCGGGGAGAAUUAAAGCGGAUUAGUGGCGAACGGGUGAGUAACGCGUGAGUAACCUGCCUUACACAAGGGGAUAGCCUUUGGAAACGAAGAAUAAUACCCUAUAAAACCAUAAAAGCACAUGCAAUUAUGGUCAAAGUGAUAGCGGUGUAAGAUGGACUUGCGUCUGAUUAGCUAGUUGGUGAGAUAAAAGCCCACCAAGGCAACGAUCAGUAGCCGGCUUGAGAGAGUGUACGGCCCCAUUGGGACUGGGACACGGCCCAGACUCCUACGGGAGGCAGCAGUGGGGAAUUUUGCACAAUGGGGGAAACCCUGAUGCAGCGACGCCGCGUGAUUUAGAGGGCCUUCGGGUUGUAAAAAUCUUUUGUAUAGGAAGAAAAUGACAGUACUAUACGAAUAAGGUCCGGCUAAUUACGUG